rnacentral:lncRNA from 1 species
GCCAGAUUCAGUUUGUCGCCGGAUAGCUUGAAAUAAGUAAUCAAGUACUUAUUUCAAUUUGGUCUUUUAGCUAAGUUAUUCAGUAUUCAUUUGUUAUAGUUUGUACACUGUUAGGAGACUUGGGACACGUCAUUUAGCAACUAACGUUAGCUAGUUGCUAUACAGUUCUUUUUUUAUUUAUUUUUUAUUUCACCUUUAUUUAACCAGUUCGUUCCAGUCAUUGGCAGCAGAGAACUGGAAGGAGAGACAGCCAAGGGAGGAAUUGGCUUUGGGGGUGACCAGAGAGAUAUGCCUGCUGGAGCGUGUGCUACAGAUUGUUUUAGGAUGACAAAGAGAAUGAAGUGGAGUCACAAACAUACUGUUCUCUCUCUGUGAUCAAAGAGCUGUAGUUGUCUAAGAGAAAGCACCCAACGGAAUAAGCCUUCGUGAGGUCACAAAUGAGAGGGGAUCCAAUGUCAACCCCUCCAGCCAGAGACAGGCAGUUGCCAAAGCUACAGAUCAACAGAGAUCCGUACUGAAGGUGGUGGGGAGAAUAAGGAUUACAGCAAAACAUUUUGUUGUAGCCCCACCCCAGACAAACUCACCUGAUUCAACUCAUUGAGAGCUUGAUGAUUAGUUGACAAGUUGAAUCAGGUGUGCUUGUCUGGGGAUACAUAAAAAAAUGUGUACUGUUUGGGGGUUCUGGAGUUGGGAAACACUGAUGUACAAUGUAUUAAUGCCCUGAAUAUAUUGUUCAUUUUGUUGGACUGCAUAGCAGUGUUUUGGUUUCUGUACAGCACUUUGAGAUAUUAGCUGAUGUAAGAGGGCUAUAUAAAUACAUUUGAUUUGAUUUAGUGGUGUCAAACUGUGAGUAACAUAUGUCUAAAACACGAUUCUGGAUUACAAUGCAAUUACUACUACUGCCAUUCUUACACACUCCGGGGUGGACAGAGUUUAAAUCAGGACUAGGCUAAUUCUAUUUAAAUUAAUCCAGAUUUAAAAAAAUGGUACUCUGAGACUGCUUAAUUUCAGAUUAAUUAGUUCUAGACAAGGGAGUCCCAGACUAAGGUAAGUAAGGACUAACCAGUUCAUCUUUGAAGCCUGAUUACAUUAAAACCUGUUAGGGCUAGGGGGCAGUAUUGACACGGCUGGAUAAAAAACAUACCCGAUUUAAUCUGGUUACCACUCCUACCCAGUAACUAGAAUAUGCAUAUACUUAUUACAUAUGGAUAGAAAACACCCUAAAGUUUCUAAAACUGUUUGAAUGGUGUCUGUGAGUAUAAC